UAGCCGCGGUAUUUUGACCGUGCAAAGGUAGCAUAAUCAUUAGUUUUUUAAUUGGAAACUUGUAUGAAUGGUUGGACAAAGAAAAAGCUGUCUCUUUUAUUAAAAUUGAAAUUAACUUCUAAGUGAAAAGGCUUAGAUUUUCUAGAGGGACGAUAAGACCCUAUAAAGCUUUAUAAAUUAAGUAAGUUAGAACAAAUUUUAUAGAAUAAAGGUAAAUUUAAUAUAUUUAUUUGGUUGGGGCGACAAUGGUAUAAAUUAAAUAACUGCUAUUAAAAUUAAACAAUUAUAUUUGAUUAAAAUUAUAAUUGAUCCUUAUUAUGGAUUAAAAGAUCAAGUUACUUUAGGGAUAACAGCGUAAUUUCUUUUAAGAGUUCUUAUCAAAGAAGAAGUUUGCGACCUCGAUGUUGAAUUAAAAUGUCUUUAUAGUGCAGAAGCUAUAAAAGAAGGUCUGUUCGACCUUUAAUUUUUU
rnacentral:rRNA from 1 species